rnacentral:tRNA from 6 species
GCGGAUGUGGUGAAAUUGGUAUACACGCCAGACUUAGGAUCUGGUGUCGCAAGACGUGGAAGUUCGAGUCUUCUCAUCCGCACCA